rnacentral:rRNA from 1 species
UACGGAGGGUGCGAACGUUAAUCGGAAUCACUGGGCGUAAAGCGCGCGUAGGCGGUCCGUUAAGUGGGAUGUGAAAUCCCCGGGCUUAACCUGGGAAUUGCAUUUCAAACUGGCGGACUAGAGUGCGGUAGAGGGAGGUAGAAUUUCCUGUGUAGCGGUGAAAUGCGUAGAGAUCGGGAGGAACACCAGUGGCGAAGGCGGCCAUCUGGCUCAACAUUGACGCUGAGGCACGAAAGCGUGGGGAGCAAACAGG